AUUAUAUGCUGCAGGUGCUGAUCCCCGCAAAGGCUCCCUACAAAAACCAAAUGUGGAUUGGAUCCCUGAGAAAGUUUGGACCAACCUUUUGCUUUUGGAAGAGAUACCCACCCGCACUUUUCAAACAUUGUGUGCUGUAAGUUUUUCAUUCUCAAUUACCUUUUUUUAAUUUUUAAUUUUAAUUUUAUAUUUUCUUUUUUUAUUUAAUGUAAAGUAUGAUGGCACUAGUUUUUAUUGCUGUUUUAUGAUGGAUUAAUCACAUGGAGCUUUUUUCAAACUAUUUUAUGUGAAACCCCAUAACUGAUUGUGACAUAGAUUCAGACAUUUCAAUUCAUGAAACAAGAUUGAAUUUUCAAAAUUAUAGGAUCUAACAGAUUACUCAUUAUUUUUUCUUGUUUUGAAUAUUUUAUCAAAGUUAAUUGAAGAGUAAUGUUACGUUUUUAGUUUAUAUUUACUAUUUAGAAUGCAUACAGAAUAAUCAAAAUUUGAAAUAGCUUUAGAGUGUUACAUUCAGAUGCUAAACAAACUUUUGUGCAUCUGUUGUAGCUUAAAUUCAUUGACAUACAAUGAAAUGAAUGUAUAUAUGUACAAAACAUGUUGCCUUUUAGAUAGAUGUCUUUUUCUUUUUAUAGAUUGUUUUGGAACUUUCUUAAGUCCAUCAUUAUAAUCACAAAACACCUCCAAAUUAGUGACUCAUGUCACACAAUGCACACAUUUCGAAAAAAAAAAAAAAAAAAAUCUUAGUAUGAAAAUUUUCUUCAACAAAAAAUAAAAAUGACAUUAUAUAUAUAUAUAUAUAUAUAUAUAUAUGAAUAGAAAUUUAACAACUUUCAUGUGAAACAAACCAAAAUUGGAUAGGUAAUUGACUUAUAGAAAUAACUUUUCACUGAAACAGUGUUGUAUCUGUUACUUAAUUGUGAUAUUCUUUAUUUCUUUCUUACUAUGUUUUAAAUUAACAAUUGAAUAUGACUGAGACAGAAGUAAAAAAUUUCAAUUCCAACACAA
rnacentral:lncRNA from 1 species